rnacentral:ncRNA from 1 species
AAUAAGUUUGAUUCUUGCUUAUUUAUUAAUUUAUUAAAUGAUUUAUAUGUUUACUUUUAAAUGUUAAUUUUUGCAGUAAAUUUUAUUGUUAAAUUAUUAUAAAUAAUCAUCAGUAAUUUAAUUAUAAUGGAUAAAUUUUGUGCCAGCAUUCGCGGUUAUACAAUUCAUUAAAGUUAAUAUUUUUAUUUAAGUAAUUAUUUUUAUAUUUGAUUAAAUAUUAAAUUAUUUAGGUGGAAUUUAUAUUUUAUUUAUAUUUCUUUAAUAAAUUUUAUUAAAUCAAUAUAUUAAACUAGGAUUAGAUACCCUAUUAUUUUUGUAUCUAAAUUUUUAAAUGAAUAUUAAUAGGUAUGGUCUAUAAAACUCAAAGAAUUUGGCGGUGAAUUAUAUCUUUUUAGAGGAACCUGUUUUUUAAUUGAUAAACCACGAUAUUUUAUACCUUUAUUAUAUUUGUAUACCUCUAUAAUUAAGAAUGUUAUUAAAAUAAAUUUUCUUUAUUUUUAUUAAAUUAUGUUAGGUCAAGGUGCAGUUUUAUACGGGUAAAUAUGGGUUACUUUAAUUAUAAAUAUUAUUAUUUAACUAAUCUGUAUCAUGAUUAUGAAAAAUAGGAUUUAAAAGUAAUAUUACAUAAUUAUUUAUUUUGAAAUUAGUUUUAAUUCAUGUACAUAUCGCCCGUCACUCUCUUUAAAAUGGGAUAAGUCGUAACAAAGUAGGUGUACCGGAAGGUGUAGCUAGUAAGUU